rnacentral:rRNA from 1 species
UACGAAGGGUGCAACCGUUGCUCGGAAUUAUUGGGCGUAAAGCGCACGUAGGCGGCUUGGCAAGUCGGAUGUGAAAUCCCUCGGCUCAACCAAGGAAGUGCAUCCGAAACUGCUGAGCUUGAGUACUUAAGAGGAUCGCGGAAUUCCCGGUGUAGAGGUGAAAUUCGUAGAUAUCGGGAGGAACACCAGUGGCGAAGGCGGCGACCUGGGAAGAUACUGACGCUGAGGUGCGAAAGCGUGGGGAGCAAACAGG